rnacentral:lncRNA from 10 species
GAAGGCGGGGGACCCGGGACUUCCAAGUGUGUUCAUCUCAAAGAUCUCUCUUUGCAUAAUGUGUGUGUGGACCUGCCUACAGAUACAUUGGGUGGAAGCCCUAGGAGCCUCAAGCAAGUCUGAAGAUUGGCCCUGAGAACCACUGUUCUCAUUAUCAGCAAGGAUUUUAUCCAGAGACCUCUAGGAAUACAUUCACUAAAAUGUGACUGUGGUCCUGUGGUUGUAUGAACUCUGGCUCUUCUCGUGAAUUACAUUUCACUGGAGUCAGGUGUUUUCUGUAAACAUCGUUAAACCACGAGACCAACUGCAUUGAACAUUUUUUGCACUACAUUGUUUUAUUUCUUGCUCGUCUUUUCCUUGCAGAGCUGGGGCUGGGGUGAGGUGAGUGUCUUAGGUGAGGCUGGACUCUUCCUCCGAGAAGAUCUGAAAUGCAGUGAGCACUUUUGCUUGAAGACAGGGACUGAUUUUGGUAGCAUCCUUUGGUCUCUUCUAGUCUGGGAGUCAGAGAAAGUUUGCAUCAAAAUGUCAUCAGGCCAAAAACAAUCCAUUGAUACACUUGGUGACAUUAAUUGAGAAAAAAACAAUAUGGUCUGGCCAUGGAGGCAUGGUAUCCGUAACAUCCCCCAAAGGAGCUAAAGAAGAAAUCCACAAUUUACCAUGAGCAUUUCUCGUCUGAAGAUUGCCAAGCGAUUCCUCCAGGACAUUCCUCAAGAUCAAUUUCUGUUCAUCCACCUUGUCCUGGGAGGGACAUCAAUGGGUUUCCAUGUCCUUUGGCUUCUGGUUGAGUUCACUCAGUGGAGAACCCUGGCAAGAGGCAGGAAAAGGGGAGGAAGCAGCCUGACCGGUUUGAAUUUCACCUUCUGUUCACCUUGGAUGAGAGCAGUAAUCAUCACGAUCCCAGGGAACAGCCAAAGGAAGAGAAAAGGCAAAAGAUUUGGACAAGACUCAUGAAGACUAACAGCUCUUGGAUAAUUGAGAGAAGGCAGCUGCGUGAACAGUUUUGAUGCAAUCAUGAAGGCAGGGCCCAGUGCCUGUGGCAUCUGCCUUUUUCUGGAACCAAUCCAUAUUUCCUUGUGGUUUUCUAAGGUGCAGAGAGGGCACAUUGGGAACUUUGCUUGGGGUCUUUUUCACAUCUUAGAGGGAAGGUCCCUCAACAUCUGCAUUGGCGGAGUGUGAUCCUCAUGUCCCUCUGAAUGAUCUGGACUUGAGGUAACCAGCCCCUUCCAGGAAGCUGUCCCAUGAGUGAAGCCUCAGCAGCAGCCUCUGUCAGUCCCUCCCCCACAGAACCUUUGGCUUCCAUUUGACCAGCCUUGACAUCCAGUGUCCAAACACCGAUAAAAUUGAUUCCACUAAGCGUGGGAAAGUCCUGGAGCAUCGAUUGUUUCCUCCUCUGCACCCCCGAUACCCUGGCAUUAGCACUCUCCCAGAAUGUACCUUGCUUGUUUGAUUGGAGGAGGUCAAAGCCCUGAUGAAGAAUGAGUGGAAUUCCACAGGAUUGGAGCAGUCUUGAUAAAUGACAGCAGGGGAUGGUGUGGGGAGGGGAAAGGAUCAGAGGAAGUGUGGAUAAAUGAAUGGCUUAAAAAAUAAUCCACCUUUGCCUCCCCCUUUUCUACCAGUCUGUCUAGUGCUUCAGGGUGAAAAAAAAAAAAAAAAGCUUGCCUUUCUAAACAUUUGGAGUUUCAGAAAUGAUCUAUAGAGCAUGUUUAGUUUUUCAAGUUAAAAAUAUUAAAAGAAAAAAAAUGUUUGAGGGCUUUACUGCUUUCCCGCAAAGAGCUAGAGCCACCCAAGCAGGAUUGACUGUCAUUGGUUUGAGGUUUCUGUUUGCUUUGAGGCUAUUUUUUCCUUAGUGCUAUAAACUAGAUCAGUCCAUUUUUAGCUGAUAACCCUUUCCAAUUUCGCUGUGAAAUGAGGGGCUGGUUGGGUGGUUUUUUUUUAUGUUCUUUCCAGCGUUGACUUUUAUGGUCUUUGAUUCCAAGGUACCUCGUCGACUCUGAAGACGAGAGAUGGGUAGGUUCUAACUCCAGAUGAGCCACUGCAAGAUGGUACCAGGAUGAGAUAGAGAGUCUCUGUACUAUCUUUUAUAUGUUCUCAAACCCAGCCAGGGAUCAGAGUGACAAUAUAACAUGGGGAAUCAUAGAGAUGUUUAUGGUAAUUCUGCUAUGAGUCAACUGAGAUGUCCCUUAUGGAGAUAACUUCCCAUACUAUAGGCAGUUGGACAAAGAUGUAAAUGCCUUGUUUACAAAUGCUACCCAGAUCUCCUAAUUAGGACCACACAUGCGGAGAACCCAACAGCUUUUGGACUUAUCGGCCAAUGGUCUUCUUGGGAAGGUCUCUCCUAGUCAUGGGAAUUGUCUUUUUAUUGUUCAAGCUUUUGCAUAGACCUGGAAGAGGCAUCCAUUGCUGUUACCCCUGAGUUUAUAAUCAUGCUGCAAGUCCAGUGGGGAACUUUGGCACAAAGCAUUGAAUGAGAUGGGACUGCACUUAUGUAGCCUGCAUUUCUUGAGAAUAAAGAUUUCUGUUCAUUUAGUGCAGUGGUUAUCAUCUGGGGGAAAACCAGUGAGUAGAGGCCAGGGAUGCCACUAAAAUCCCUACACUGUGCAGGAAAGCUGUCAGCCCUUUGUCCCACAAGAGAUUAACUGGUUCCAAAAGUCAGUAGUGCUGUGGUUGAGAAACCCUGUUUACCACCUGUAGGUUCCAGAGAGCUCGGAUGGUGGUGGUCAUUGUGCUAAGUUUCAAAUUCAGUAUUUAGGUUUGGUUUUUAGCUUAUAGGCAACAAAUUGGCUGACUAUGGGGUGAAAAGGAAGCACCUCCUUUAUCAAGAUUGGCUUCAAAAGAUGUCUGCCUCCCCUUCUGGUGGGUCCUGUGUCCAUUCACAGUGUGAGAAAUGGAAAGGAGGUCACUAAGAGACUUGCAAUGGAUGUAAUAACUGGAUGCAGAAACUCUGGAUCUGAAGGGAAUGUUCAUGACUAUUUCAUCCCUCCUGCUGCCUUGGAGAACCAAACGCAGGAGCCACCCAAGGUGAAAACCAUCCAUUUCUUGGAGAAGUGCCACGGUGGGGUUGCAAGUCCCAGGAUCAAGUUUUCGAUGUGUCUCUUUUUCCCGUAAAGUGGCUGAAAUCUGAAGCUGAAUCUGCAAGUGUCAUGGAGUCAUUGAAUCUCACAGUCUCAACUGAUAAAAGUUAUUAAAGGUCGUCUGGUUCAGCCUUCUACUUGAUGUGGAAAUCCUUUCUACAGUAACUCUGUGUGGGAAUCACAGUUCACUUAGGGGCUUAGUCUCAUAGUCAAAAUGUCUUCUUCCUAAGUGGGAAAUUACUUCCAGCUUCUAUUCAUUCAGUAGUUGUUUAAUACUAUCUCUCUCUCUCUCUAUAUAUAUAUGUAUUAUAUAUA